GAUCCUGGCUCAGGAUGAACGCUGGCGGCAUGCCUAAUACAUGCAAGUCGAACGAAGUCUCUAGGAAGCUUGCUUCCAAAGAGACUUAGUGGCGAACGGGUGAGUAACACGUAGGUAACCUGCCCAUGUGUCUGGGAUAACUGCUGGAAACGGUAGCUAAAACCGGAUAGGUAUACGGAGCGCAUGCUCUGUAUAUUAAAGCGCCCUUCAAGGCGUGAACAUGGAUGGACCUGCGGCGCAUUAGCUAGUUGGUGAGGUAACGGCCCACCAAGGCGAUGAUGGGUAGCCGGCCUGAGAGGGUGAACGGCCACAAGGGGACUGAGACACGGCCCUUACUCCUACGGGAGGCAGCAGUGGGGAAUAUUGGACAAUGGACCAAAAGUCUGAUCCAGCAAUUCUGUGUGCACGAUGACGUUUUUCGGAAUGUAAAGUGCUUUCAGUCGGGAAGAAGUAAGUGACGGUACCGACAGAAGAAGCGACGGCUAAAUACGUGCCAGCAGCCGCGGUAAUACGUAUGUCGCAAGCGUUAUCCGGAUUUAUUGGGCGUAAAGCGCGUCUAGGCGGCAAGGAAAGUCUGAUGUGAAAAUGCGGGGCUCAACUCCGUAUUGCGUUGGAAACUGCCUUGCUAGAGUACUGGAGAGGUAGGCGGAACUACAAGUGUAGAGGUGAAAUUCGUAGAUAUUUGUAGGAAUGCCGAUGGGGAAGCCAGCCUACUGGACAGAUACUGACGCUAAAGCGCGAAAGCGUGGGUAGCAAACAGGAUUAGAUACCCUGGUAGUCCACGCUGUAAACG
rnacentral:rRNA from 1 species